UACGUAGGGUGCAAGCGUUAUCCGGAAUUAUUGGGCGUAAAGGGCUCGUAGGCGGUUCGUCGCGUCCGGUGUGAAAGUCCAUCGCUUAACGGUGGAUCCGCGCCGGGUACGGGCGGGCUUGAGUGCGGUAGGGGAGACUGGAAUUCCCGGUGUAACGGUGGAAUGUGUAGAUAUCGGGAAGAACACCAAUGGCGAAGGCAGGUCUCUGGGCCGUCACUGACGCUGAGGAGCGAAAGCGUGGGGAGCGAACAGGAUUAGAUACCCUGGUAGUCCACGCCGUAAACGGUGGAUGCUGGAUGUGGGGACCAUUCCACGGUCUCCGUGUCGGAGCCAACGCGUUAAGCAUCCCGCCUGGGGAGUACGGCCGCAAGGCUAAA
rnacentral:rRNA from 1 species